UACGGAGGGGGCUAGCGUUGUUCGGAAUUACUGGGCGUAAAGCGCACGUAGGCGGACUGUUAAGUCGGGGGUGAAAUCCUGGGGCUCAACCUCGGGCCUGCAGUCGAUACGGGCAAACUAGAGUACUGCAGGGGAGACUGGAAUUCCUGGUGUAGCGGUGAAAUGCGCAGAUAUCAGGAGGAACACCGGUGGCGAAGGCGGGUCUCUGGGCAGUAACUGACGCUGAGGAGCGAAAGCGUGGGGAGCGAACAGG
rnacentral:rRNA from 1 species